rnacentral:rRNA from 1 species
UACGUAGGGGUGCAAGCGUUUGUCCGGAAUUAUUGGGCGUAAAGAGCUCGUAGGCGGUCUGUCGCGUCUGCUGUGAAAACUCGGGGCUUAACCCCGGGCCUGCAGUGGGUACGGGCAGACUAGAGUGCGGUAGGGGGAGACUGGAAUUCCUGGUGUAGCGGUGAAAUGCGCAGAUAUCAGGAGGAACACCGGUGGCGAAGGCGGGUCUCUGGGCCACUACUGACGCUGAGAAGCGAAAGCAUGGGGAGCGAACAGG